rnacentral:lncRNA from 1 species
GAAAUGUCAACUAGGAGAGCAAUAACAUUAUUAAUAGCAAAGCAAGUACAAAAGGAUACAGUACUCGGUCCACUUCCCGUCCUUAUAACUCCGAUCGGUAACUCCUUCGGUUGGCUGGCCAUCAACUUAUCCCUCCAGUGGUAGUACUCGAGUAUACCGAAACGGUUGUCCAGGGUUCCACCUACCCGAUCGAGCCCAGUCCUGGCUCGAGUAGGUCAGUAACCGAGACAGGGCCCAAGUUCAGCUUAUAGCUUACAACAUGCCCAGGUAACCAAGUAAUUCGACAAAAAGUAAAAUUCAUCAUUUGAAUAGGUCGAGAGAGGUAAAGUACACACUCGCCUAACAAUGAUGGACAACUUCAUAUAACAUGUGAUUCAUGAUAAUCAAGUAAUCAAGUGGAUACUUAGCACGUAAGCGCGUAAGCAAUACAAGUUGAUUUCAUGGGAGCAUGUAAUUCACGGAUAUCGAAUAAUCAUAUAGAUUAGAAAUCAUGUGAGCAAAUAGUCAAGUAAUCAGGUAGUCAUGUGGGUUGGUAAACGGUUCACGGUUAACGGUUAACGGUUGACGGUUAACGGUUGAGUAAUGACGGUU